UACGGGGGGAGCAAGCGUUGUUCGGAUUUACUGGGCGUAAAGGGCGCGUAGGCGGUCAGCACAAGUCAGUUGUGAAAUCUCCGGGCUUAACUCGGAAAGGUCAACUGAUACUGCGCGGCUAGAGUGCGGAAGGGGCAACUGGAAUUCUCGGUGUAGCGGUGAAAUGCGUAGAUAUCGAGAGGAACACCUGCGGCGAAGGCGGGUUGCUGGGCCGACACUGACGCUGAUGCGCGAAAGCCAGGGGAGCGAACGGG
rnacentral:rRNA from 1 species